CUUUAUUUAUCUUAUGUUUUAGUCACCCUGUACCCAUUAUAGGUGCAGGGUGUGUGUAAUGUAAUUGUUUAUAGUGUGUGUGUGUGUGUGUGUACUGUGUAAUGUAUUGCCUGCUUUCUUGUAUUGCUGAGGUUUGCUUGCUACCAACUAGGUGGGUUUGGCUAUGGAGCUUGUCUAGUGCCCUCUGUUGGUAGCAACAGCAAUAUGCACUACCUGAAUUGCAAGAC